rnacentral:rRNA from 1 species
UACGUAGGCAGCGAGCGUUGUUCGGAGUUACUGGGCGUAAAGGGUGUGUAGGCGGUUGUUUAAGUUUGGUGUGAAAUCUCCCGGCUCAACUGGGAGGGUGCGCCGAAUACUGAAUGACUCGAGUGCGGGAGAGGAAAGUGGAAUUCCUGGUGUAGCGGUGAAAUGCGUAGAUAUCAGGAGGAACACCGUGGUCGGUGAGUCGACGAUUCCG